UAAAAAACAAAACAAAACAAGUUCAUAGCUCCAGGUCAUUGAACCCUGGACUAGACAGAUUCUGAGAUCCUUUCCAGGUGUGGAUCUAUUCUUUAAUUUUGUUCAGGUUAGAGAGAGAGGAAAUUGAGGCUAAGAGGGGAUAUGAUUUGCCCAGGUUAAUGACAGAGCUAGGAUUAGACCAGAGGCCUUUAUUUCCUGUCUCAGUCAAGCAUUCUGUGCCCUCCACCUCUCAGUGGGGCUGCUUCUUGGUUGCUCUCUCCUUCCCUUCCCCCUAACUCUUGCUUAUCCACAUUGCUCACCCCUUCAAUGGAGAGAUCAUUCAGGGGUCAGUCACCCACCUAUUGGACAGGCACAUUGCCAGGAUGCCAGCUAAGGGGUUGGCCAUAGCACUAAGAGCUGCAGACAGGUGGUAGGCCAUGGAACCAUAGGACAUGCAGGAGAAAGAGAAGAGGAGGCAGGCUGUUGUGCCCAGGACCAACACAGCAAAGAUGACCGGGACCUCAGGGAUGCAGCCAGGCCGGAAUCGGUGGAACAGGGUGAUGCAGAGUGGCCCCACAUUGGCUAGCUGGAUGAUGAUUGUGAGGUAGGAGGGUAGGUACCAACCCUCAGGUAAUUGUGAUACAAGCAGAGGCAACUCUACCCAUAGUCCAUUAAUGGCCACCCAGGAGCCAGAGCCAAAGAUGCAGACCAGUAGGCAGAAGCUCCUCUUCCCUUCCCACUGGUCCCUCCCUACCACAACCCACCCUCUCCACAAGCCCCAUCCAUGGCCCUUGGCCUCCUUCCUGAACCAGCCAGAACUGUGAGAGGAGGGACUAGCCUUGGAGAGGACAUAAGCUGCUAUAUCUGCAACAAAUAAUACUUUUCUAAGCACUUGUCCAAUUCUUGUUUGGGUCUCACAGCCAGGAAGGGGGCAAGGCAAGAAAUAAACUAAUUUUAUGUUUUUAUUCAGGACUUAUGUCUUGGGGUGGGAACUCCCUCCACUACAGUAGAUAAGCAACUCAUCAGUAACUUACCAUCUUAGAAAGACUUUCCUGGUGAGUUGAGAAGUUAAGUGGCAUUCUUGUGGUCACACAAUAUUUGUGAUCACAGGCUUGCCCCCGACCCAUUAUGGUAUGUCAUAUCUUUAAAAAAAUUUUUUUUUAAUUUAAAAAUAUUUUUCCAUGUUUCCAGGAUUCAUUUUCUUUCCCUCCCUCCUCCCAAAGCUAACAAGCAAUUCCACUGGGUUGAACAAAUGUUAUCACUUGUGGUAUGCCAUAUCUUAUACCCCAAUUUCAUAGAGAAGGAAGCAGAAACAAGGAGGAAGGUCCUCUGCAUCGUGGCUGGGCUGACCUUGUUUGACAGAGGUGGAGCUGAUGGGCAUGUGUUUGACUGUAGUGAAUCAGAAUUACCAGUUGGGACUUUCAUAAUAAAUAAAAGAAUGUCAGGACAUCGAGGUAGUGUGAUAAGUGCAUAAAGUGCUAGGCCUGGGUGUGGGAAGUCUUGGGUUCAAAUCUGGACUCAGACACUUACUAGCUGUGUGACCCUGGGCAAGUCACUUAACUCCAUUUGCUUAGCCCUUACCUUUCUGUCUUAAGAGUUGUUACCAGGACAGAAAGUAAGGAUUUAAAGGAAAAAAAAGUAUACCCUAGCAUUUAGCACAGUGCCUGGCACAUAGUAGCUGCUUAAUAAAUGUUUAUUGGAUUGAAUUGGGAGUUGUGAGAACCUUGGUUUUUAAUCAUUCAGCUUCUUUCCCCACAGCAGUUUACCUUGACCCUGCUGAGACCUUUCAGGAGAGGGCUGAGGGCAUGAGCUAACUGACUCCUUCCUAAGGAUGGGUGCCUGGUCUAUAUCUAAAAGUGAUCAGCUUUGUCCUGGGAAGGCUCCAGACAACCCCUGAGUUCUUUAGUAGGACAUGCCCAGGGAUUGUGGUGGGAGGUACCAAAGGGUUGCAAGGAGAGAGGUCAGAGAGAAGUAAUAGCUCUCUUAGUUCUUCCACUCCUGGUUUUGGAGAAACCUAGAAAUUUAAAGAAGCCUAUUAAAUCUUCUGAAUCAUGGUUGGGUUUCUUUACUACAUUUAAUUGGAUUGGGAGUACUGUUAGUGGGAGUAGGAAGGGAUGUCUCCUACAUUCCAGAAAGUGCUAAGUUACCUGUCUCAUAGUUAUUUCACUACUCUGAAAUGUGACUAUAAGACAAUAUGAUUUUGCAUAACCUGAAGAGCUGAGAUUUUAAGCACCUAUUGAGACAGAUAAAGAAUAGGAUAUUGGAUUUAUUAUCAGGUUCAAAUUCUGCCUCAAAAAGUGACCCUGGGUAAGCCACUUAACCUCUCCGUGUCUCAGUUUCUCCAUCUGUAAAUGAGAGGAGAUGGAUUUGGUAACUUUUACUUUCCUCUUAGCUCUAAAUAUAUGAAUCAUCCACAUAGUGGAACAGAGCCAAGUAGGAUUCCAGACUUAGAACUGGAAGGGUCUUCCCUUCUACCCAAACUUUAUAAAGUUAAAAUAACAUGAUUUAGAGCUAAAGACCUUAAAGAUCCUCUGCUCUACUGCCUUUAUUUUACCCAGAAAGCAGUCUAAUAAGUUAUGGAGCCAGAAUUAGAAUCCAAGUCUUCUGAUCUGACCUUCCUACUGUACCUGUCAUUCCUUACUCUUUCCAGGAAAGUCAUGGAAUUGAAAAAUAAACCUUCCCACCCUGCAAAGGGCAUAGGGAUACUGAGGCUGAGCAGAUGACAGAUGGGCAGGUACCCAGCCACCCCCCCCCCCCCCCAGAACAAAGGAAUCUCUUCUUCACAUCAGAUAUUAUAAAUUAGGCAAACAUUGACACUGAACAUAAUCCUGGGGUGAGGCUCAGAGUUGUUUUAAUUGCCUGAGCCCUUUUCAUGAGUCAGAACUGGAUGGGUUAGUUUUCCUGCUUUUCAAGAGGACUUCCUGAAAAAAAGGGAAUUUUCUUUAGACUACUUCUUGGUUCUUUUGCUGCCUCUCCUGGCACCAUUCCUAGGGGAAGUGCUCAGUUUCAAAACCCCAUGGGCUCAUGGGAUUUAGAACUCAAAGGACUUUAGAGUUGUUUUUUUUUUUAACUAUAACCCUCUCAUUUGGCAGAAGAAGAAACUGAGGCCCCAUGAGGAAGAUCUUGCCUAAGGUCACAUGGAGCUGAGACUUAAAGCCUGUGAUACCAAGGCCAACACUCUUUCCUUAAAUCCCUCAUAUCCACUUAGCUUGAAACCCAACUGUGUUGGUUCCUGCUUUUUAAUUACAACCCAUGUUUUCAAGUUAGGUGAUUUGAUUAUGGCAGAAUACUUGAGAACAGAAAGGUCUGGCCAAUAUCAUCUCUUCCAGUCUUCAUUCUAAUCAGGCUGUCUUCUAGUCAUUGAACCACACUCCUUGCUCCCUCACAAUCAUUUCUCUGAUCUUCCCUGAAGUACCAUCUCCAUCUCCAACCCAGACCAGGUAGUUCUAAAUCCUACCUUUCCUGUAAAGGCCCAUUUCCUUAAAAUAUUUAUUUGUUUGUUUGUUUGUUAUAGCUGAGGUACUCCUGGGUCUAGGACUAGGAAUCAGGAGAACUGAGUUUAAGUUUUCAUUUCUACAUUUCUUGGGUGAUCAUGGGCCAGUCCCUUCCCUGCUCUGGACCUCAGUUAUUCCACUUGUCAAAUUAGAAUAUUAACAUAGAUUUUCUUUUUCUUAAAAGAAACCCCCCAAACCCUCUUACCUGCCAUCUUAAAUCAUUGCUAUGUAUUGGUUCCAAGGCAAAAAAAAGUGAAUAAGGGUUUGGCAAUUGGGGUUAAGUGAUUUGCCCCAUGGUCACAAAACUAGGAAGUGUCUGCCACCUAGCUUUUGCAUAGGUCUUUUUUUAAUAGCUGGUAUUCAAUUUUCAAGUGCUUCUUCCCAUUCCAACACUCUUUAUCCUUUUCUGAGACCCUUUUGUAUAUUGAUAUUCCAUAUUCUAGAUUCCCUGCUAGCUAAAAAACUAUGAACCUAAGCUCCUACUAAUCAUAGCCCACUCUAACCAUCCAUCCUUAUAUCCUAUUACUUCUCAUUAAGGCCUUACAUUUUAGCCAGUCCCACACAACAGACUCAUUCUGUCCUUGAUCAUGUAAUCAUAAUGUUCUCCAUAACUUGGACUGCCAAAUCUCCACUUCUACUUAUUCCAAUGCUUCCUCUCCAAACCUGGCCAUCCUUCAAAGUCAGAUCUGGUGUUGUCAGAAAAUCUUCCUGAAAUGAUUAGAGUCCAAAAAUAUCAGGAAGAAGGGUUAUGGACCAUCCAAAACCCAGCAAAGGAAAGUGAUUUCCCAAGAUCACAUUAUAAGUUAGCAGCACAACUGGGACCAUUCCUCAGUUCUGCCAUUUUAUGAUCUUGUGGGACCUUGUGUGAGACAUUUAAUCUUCCUCAGCCCCAAUUUCUCCUUAAGAUGAAAAAGUUGGAUUAGCUGCCUGAUAAAGCUCCUUCCAGCUCUAAAUCUAUGGUCUUUUGAGCCCUAGGACAGGGAUUCUCAAGUCCACAGUUAUCACUUCAUUUUGUGAACUGUUUUGGUACUUACAGUCUGUACCAUGCAAUCAGAUACUCAAGCACAAGCUGUCUUCAAUGGCUCAAUUGUUUCUUGUGCAUAAACUUUGUCUCCUUUGUCAAAUUGUAGCUAAGAGGUUGUCAAAUUAUAACAUUCACAGUGGAAUGCAUGUCUAAUUCCUGGGUAUACUCCUUGGCCUCAUAAUUAUUGGGGUGUACUGGAACAUGCUCUGGUUCUGUAAAUAGAAGAUCUGAUUUCAAAUUCUGUCACUGAUAAUCACUACCUGCAGGAACUCAGACAUAUCAAUCUAUCUCUCUGAACUUUGGUUUCCUCAUCAGUAAGUUAGGAGGUUUUACUAUAUGUCUUUGGGGUCUCUUUCUGUUUAUGGGUUCGCUUCCUCUGAAUAUCUCUUCCAUUCAGUGAUCCCUAGUGGGAAUUUAUGCAAGUUGGCGGAAUCAGACAGCCAGAAUGAAGAACAUCAUAUAUUAGAGAUGGAAGGAAGAGAAGAGAAGGAUCCUAGAAUGGGUAUGACCUGACUAAAGUGGAAGGUCCUCAUCAGAAGGAAUGAGUGUUUAGAUGGCUAGAUUGAGGCAUGAGUAGAACUCCAGACUGCUUGAGCUGAGAGAGACCUUAGAACAUAAAGAAUAUGGGCUCAACUUCUGAUUUACUGACUAGAUAACUAAGACAGAAAGAAGUGACUUGGUCAAAGUCACAUAAUUUUUAAGUAGAAGAGUCCUGAGUCCAAAGCUAGGCCUCUUCAUUAGUGCAAAGUACCUGAUGCUAGCCGCCAUAUCUGUGAUGCUUUAUACUUUAUAGAACCAUUGACAGAAGUUGUAUCAUUGCAACUUCCCUGUUAUAGGGAAGGAAGGUUGGACUAUUAUCCUCAUUCUACAGUCAGACUGGGAAAAGGGAAUUAAUAUGCUCCCUAUCACAUAGCUAGUAAGUAGCAAGAAGAGAAACAAUCCCAGGUCCUCCAAACCCAAAUCCCGCCAUGCCAGAACUGCUUCAUCCAGUUAUAGGGCAAGAAAUUAAUGAGAAGGGAGGAUGCCAGGAUGAGAUAAAGAGAAGCAAGAUUCCUAAAGGUCCUUAAGGCAAGAGAGGAGCAAAAUUCCUCAAGUCAUUCUCCUUUCUCAGGCAAGCUUGCUUUCUAAAUCCUCCAGAAGGACUUCUCAGUGAUAUCCCAUGGAGACUCCCAGAGCCUCCUCCAAAAGCUCCCAAUAAAUGUUUGUUGAUCCAUCAUCAGCCAUGAUUGGGAAUAGGCUUCUGCAAAAACUAUGGCAUAGACUUCUUCAAUCCUGUCAGUUUAGUUUUCCCAUGACACUGGUGCUCUUUGUCUUGGUCAGUAUCAUUAGUCAGUCAAUAAAUCUUAAUAACUACUGUGUGCCAGGCACUGUGCUAAGAGGAAAUAACCCCCCAAAAUGGCAAGACAGUCCCAGCCCUCAAAAAGUUCACAAUCUAACAGGAGAGUCAACAAGAAAAUAAAUAAUAUAUCAACAAGCUCUCUACCUGGAUAAAUAGGAAACAGUUAACCAAGGGAAGGCAUUCUAUUCUAAUUAAAAAUGGGUGAGGAAACACUGACUAUAGAAGUAAGUCCUCCUCUGGGAGUAGCAGAACUCCAGAUACAAUUAGAAUGAUUGGAUUUGGUGCCAGAAGACUUGGUUUCAAGUCUGGACUCGGGCUAUUUAUUAGGAGUGGUGUAAUCUUGGGCAAGUCCAUCUCUGAACCUCCCUCAUUUCCCAAACUGGGGUGGGGGAGAUCUCUGGAGUUCGUGUUAAGUGAUAUCUGGAGAUCUUGGUCCUGUAAACCCAUGAAACCAGAAGUGUGUCCUGAAGCAGGGCAACCAGCCUCCAUGCUCCACUCCCACCACCCAGGCAGCAGGAACCCCGGCUGCCCAAGCCUUUGCCUCGUCCUUCUCCUCCUCCUCAGCUAUCCCUCUGUAGAACUCCCAGCUCCCUUUUCUUCCCUUAGCUUGGUAGUUCCCCAUAGCCCAGUGUCCCAAGAGUAUUUACCUGGAGGCAGCCCGUGUCGGAGGACUAGGGGAGACUUGUGAGUACUGGCUCUGGCCCAGGCCACUCUGCCCUGGCUUAGGAGCCUUUCUUCCCUCCUGGGCUCAGUCUGGGGACGUAGUGCCCUAGUGCUUGCAUGAACAGAUGCCAGAUGUCUGAGCGAGGUCAGCACCAGCACGCCCCAGCAGGGGAGGGAUUCAUAAACCAUUCUCUGGGUCCCUCUGUUUUAACCCCUUCCUCUAAUUCCCUCCCCCAACUUCCCCUGUACCUCCCUUUUCCCCAUCCUUUACCCCCUCCCUCUCAAUGGGUGGAGAUGACAAGUAGGGAAAGAGGGGGCCCCUAAGGAGUUGGGGGAGUGCCCCUGUCACCUUGCCAGAUUUUCAACUGGGGAGGAGAAAAAGAAGCCAGGGAGCCUGUUGAGACCUUGUCCUUCCUGUUCCUACCAAAGUCUGUGACUGGAGGAAGGUAGGGGAAAUCUACCCCAGACUUCCUUAUCCCAUUUUAACUGUUUGGAAGAAGACAGAAGAAAACGGGAAGGUCUCUCUCUCUCUCUCUCUCUCUCUCUCUCUCUCUCUCUCUCUCUCUCUCUCUCUCUCUCUCUCUCUCUCGCUUUCUCUGUCUAUCUGUCUGUCUGUCUGUCUGUCUGUCUGUCUGUCUGUCUGUCUGUCUGUCUGUCUGUCUGUGUCUCUCUCUGUCUCUGUCUGCCUUUGUCUCUCUCUGUCUCUGUCUGUCUGUCUGUCUCUCUCCCUCUCCUUCCCUCCCUACUUUCUUCUGCCCCCCUCUCUCUCCCUCCCUCCUGGAUCAUUCAGCGGAGUCUGGGGUUCUCUCUCUGUCCCUUAGAACUUCAAGUCCCUCCUUUCACUCAUUGUUUUAUUCCACCUGAGGUUACCUGCAUGGCAAGUUCUGGGUCUCCUCUCAGGAGCAGCAAACAGGCAGCUAAGCAUUAACCUGGUCCCAGCUUCUUGCCUGGGGACCUGAGGAAGGUUAACUGAGGAUUCCAGGGUCACCUGAUACCCUUGACUAAUACUCAGGUGACAGCCUUCUUCCCUCUUAUACAACCCCCAACUCCUCCCCUCCCUUUCCCAUCAAUGUCCUUCUCUGGGGCAUUUUUGCUAGAUUCCAAACCUAGUACAGUGACAUUUAGACUAAGGUAGGUUAGAUGGGGUCAGAAUUUGGAGAUGAUUGUGGGUGGGACUGGGAGAAUUAAAGAUGAUCUGGAAGCUAAGGUGAUCUUAGUACAGUCCUGGAACCUGGAUUCUGCUCCUAACCCUGCCACCAAUUUUCUGUUUGACUGAAAAAACCCGUUACUGUUUCUGGGCCUCAGUUUCCCCAUAUAGAAAAUGAAAUAUUGAUCUAAAUGGUUUCUUUCUAUCUUUAAGGAUCUUCUUUCUAGUUCCGAGAGACUAUUUUUUAAGUUCUUUCUCUGUUGCUUUGUGAUUGCCCAUUGGGUACUAGGGCAUGUGCCAGGGAAUUGUACUCAUUCUUUAUUGUCCAAAGGUGAAGAUCUUAACCACCAAGCACUCCAUACCAGUGUGCCCCCUGUUCCAGCUCCUCUCUGAAGCACAAAGGAUACUGUACACUCUCUUGUGUGUACCUUAAAUUGGAAAGAACUAGAAAGGAUCCUAGAACAGAGAAUGUCAGAGUGAUGAGGGACCUCAGUAGAACUAUAGCUAGGAUACUUGGGCUUGACUUUUUCUUUGUGUGCUUGUGGGGGUUUCUUUUUUAAUAUUUUAUAAUUUUCUAAUUAUGUGUAAAAAUAAUUUUUAACAUUUCUUUUACAAAAUAUUUUAGUCUCCUCUCUGAGACUGUAAGCCGUUUGAUAUUGGUUAUACUUGUGUAGCCAUGUAAAAAGCCCAUAAAAAACUAAGAAAGUAAAAAAUGAUCUGCUUCGAUCUGCUUUCAGAUUCUGUCAAUUGUUUUUCUGGUGGUAGAUGGUAUUUUUCAUCAUAAGCCCUUUGGAAUUGUCUUAGGCCUUUGUAUUGCUGAAAAUAGCUAAGCCAUUCACAGUUGAUCAUUGUACAAUAUUGCCAUUACUAUGUACAAUGACUCCUUGUUCUUCUCACUGAAUAAGUAAAUUAACUUGGGUAGAAUUGUCAUUUUUAUUGUAUUGCCUUGGCCUGCCCACAAGCAAUUUCAAUUUUUCCAAUUGUUCAGACCUGAUUUUAUUUAAAAGGUGUUUUGUAAUUGUGUUCACAUAGUUCCUGCGUUUGUCUUGACAGGUAGUAUUUUAUAUUUUACUUACAUUCUCUAUAGUUAUUUUAUUUUAUUUUUCCUUUUUUUAUUUAGAAUAUUUUUCCAUGGUUACAUGAUUCAUGAUGCCACCCCUGUAAAAAUUAAAUUAGUAUCUAGUAAUAAAAAUAUUAUAUUUUGUGAGGUUUAUUAAAGAUUAUUAGAAAUCAAGGAUACAUUAAAAACCACAUACCCAGGGCUGAUUAGCCCAUCAAAGCUUACUUACUACAUCAUUGCCAUGGCAGAGAAGAGAGCGUGGGAGGCAUUACUGCCAGUUAAAUAUUAAUUGUGAUCUCGCCCAUGUGGAGACUCAGGUGAGAUUAUAGAGAAUUCUGGGAAAUACCAAGGACUUCUGGGGAUUGAAGUCUGGGGUUCAAAAAUCUCCAUUUUUACACCCCCACCUGCUCUUUCCUCCUCUAUCUUGAAGCUGACAAGGAGUUCCAUUGGGUUAUACAUGUAUUAUUGUUCAAAAUCUAUUUCCAUGUUAUUCAUAUUUGCAGUAGAGUUAUCCUUUAACAUCAAAACCCUAAUCAUAUCCCUAUUGAACUAUGUGUUCAAUCAUAUAUUUUUCUAAUGCAUUUCUGUUCCCAUAGUUCGUUCUCAGGGUGUGGAUAGCAUGCCUUUGUAAAAAUGGAUUGGAAUCCAGGACUUCAAUCCCCAUAAGCCUUUGCUCCACUUCCCCAGAAUGCCUUGUAAUCUCACCUGGGCCAAGAUUGAGAGGGAUUUAACCUGAUUGCAAAGGCUUUUGGGCUCUCUUUUGGACUUUCACUUUGGGGCAGAUGUGGCUCUUUACAUAAUGUAGGUGAGGUCUUGUCAAGGCCUCUGGCCUAGGCACGUGUUUUUUCUUACUUGUAUAUUCUUAAAUUCUCAACCUUUAAUAAACCUCUAAAAAUAUAAUACUCCUUGCAGAGAGAAACUAAUUUCUACCUGCCUCAGUCUCCUAAAUUUUCAUCUUUACAGUUUUUGGCGACCACUAGAUUGGAUGAGAACUUCUCAAAUUUUUUAGCCUAGAUAAUGAUUUUUUUUAAGCCACGUUUCUCCAAGACGCUUUUUAGAAAACCAUCUUGAUCAGCUCCUGCCUGCGGCCCUCUCCGGCUCCUGCUUCUGCUCCUGGCCUCUCACCUGGUGCCCGAGCUCCCGGCCCUGCUUGUCUGCGCUCUGGCUCCCAGCCCUGCCCACCCCAGCAGUCUGUCUCUCACCCAUCUGGCCUCUGACCCAGAUGGCUCAUCACCCCAGCCCCAGCCCCACGAGCGUGACCCCAGCCAGCUCAUCACCCAGAUCCUUGGAGCAGAUCGCUCAAGACUCAUUGCGACCAGCUGGUAACAGUAUUGGCCACGUGGGUGGAGGGGAGAGACGAGAGGGAAAGGAGAAUGGGUAAUUUUCCCUUAGGCUAAGCCUCCACUUGGAUGGGGGUAUUGACCAUAGGGGGUUCAUAGCAGGGGAGAGAGAAGAAACAAACUUUUCAAACAGAAACUUAAAAAACAAUGGGCUGUUUAAAAGGAUACCUUUUGACUGUUCUGGUAAUUUCAUUGAUUUCACCUGUGUGCCAGAAGAAAGAUUCAGCCCAAAGAUUCAACUUUGGGGAGGCAAAUGGGUGUCUCAGCAAACUGAGAGCCAGGCCUACAGACAUGCGGUCCUGGGUUAAAAUCUGGCCUCAGAUACUCCCCAGCUGUGGGGUGCUGGACGGGUCCCUUAAACCCCAUUGCCUAGCCCUUACUACUCUGCCUUCGGACAAUGGACAUUUACAUGCAUAAUUAAUUAAAAGAAAACAAAAACAAAAAAACAUACACCUAAGGAACUUUAAAGACUGGAGGUUAUGAUUUUAAGGCAUUUCAGACUCCAAUGGUUUAUAAAAAUCUCUGUAUUCUAUUGCAUUUUUUGUUUAAGGUUUAACUUUGUGAUUUUAAGUUCAUAUAUUACUGGAUUCAAUAUUCUGUUACACUGAAGGUUGAUUGAAUUUAUUUUGAAUGUACUGAGUUUUGAAAUUCUGUUGUUUUCUCCCUAUAACUGUGCCAAACAAAUAUUAUAGUAAUUAAGCCCAUAUGAAAAAAAAACAGCCUUUCUAUUUUGACUUUGUAAAUUAUCAUAUAGAUGAACUUAAGGACUGGUUAUAAUUUUAUAAUAACCUUUGGAAAAUUUAAUAUGCUAAAUAUCUCAAAUGAUUUUAAGGGUUUUUUUUUAAUAUGAUUUUUGGAAUUUUUUUUAACAAUCUCUGGUUAUUUUUGCCUGCCCCUACCAUGAGGUAAGGCCCAUUACAGUAGCUGAAGUGAAAUUUAUUUUAUAACCCCCAACCUUCCCGCAUUUCUAAAUAUGUGAAUGGAAGUUGGGCAGUUAAUCUCAGGGCAUUUGUAGCCCUAAAAAGCCUCCAAAAAAGGAGCACCCCUUUAUUUAUACUCUUCAGCUCACUACUUUACUUGCAUCAGAAUGAUAUAUAGAUUUCUUGAUUAUGUUCUUAACCCAAGAUGAGUUUUACUUUGUUUUAAAAAAAAUAUGUUUGAAUACCAAGGUUGAAAGAUUGCUAUGUUUGUAAAAAAUGUGACAAAUAUCCAUCAAUUCAUAGGCUUUUAAAUGUCAUACAACUUAUGUGAAAUGUGAAAGUGUGUUUGUUUGCUAUUGUAAUUAAUUGGGCUAUUGAGAAUUUUGGGGAUUUUGAUAACUACAUAUUUGUACUACUGUAUUUUUAAAAAUGAAAAAAUUGUUACCUUGUUCAAUUCAUUUGCCUUCUACUCACAGUGAGCAUGGCCAGAUAUUAAGAGGAAAUGGAUCUCAUUUUUGGUGAGAAAGCCUUGCAUUUUAUAUUUUCUUAGCUGACACUGAGUGCCAAUGAUUAUAAGCUAUAUUUUUGAAUUUUAAAGCUCUUUUAUUAUUAUAUUUUUCUUGCAUGUGCAAUAUACUAUUUUUUUCCUCUCCUUUUAUAUUUGAAGCACAUGUCACCAGCAUUAAGAUUUUCUUUAACUUUUUGACUUUUCAGUACUACAAGUUUAAGAUACAUUUGCUAAUGCAUACCCCAAAAAGCUUGUGACUAUAAAAAUGAUGCCACUAAUUAUUUAAAUAAAUUAUUGGACUUUGCUUAAUGAUUCUGUCUGAUUCCAGGACAAGAUAUACACAACAGAGUCAUUGCACAGAGCCAAAGAAAAGCCAAUCCAGGAUGGAUUGAUGCACUUCUAGGCCAAUACAAAGGUCUUGAACCUAGUGUGAAGACUCAAGGUUACUGUGUUUAACACGUUGUUAUGACAUAGGUUUUCCUUGUGUCCAUACUCACUCUGAAGAUACUCACAGACGAGUAUCCCCAAAACCUUGGCUCAUAUAAUCUGGUCCCUUUCUUUUCUGCCUCUCAUAGUGUGGCAACUUUCUGUAGUCCUGGCUAUUGACUGGGUAAAUGCAUCAUUGCUUAGAUCAUUUUGAUUGGGCCCUGAUAGAAGGACCUGUUAUAGAUUUAUUUUUCUUUUACUUGGAAUUUUUACACACAUAAGACUUUGAUAGUCUAUAUUUUCAUCCAGAAAUUUUUUUUUAAUUUGGAUUUUUCUGAUAUCCUUUUAAUAUCUCUUGCCAAUUGAUUCAUAUACCUCAUACCUCAGCCAUGCAUCCCUAAGUGAUCCUGUAUUUGUCAAUCACCCUCUUCAUGGGGGAAUGUAAAAAAUAUCAUUUAAAUUGCAAAGUUUAAAUUCUUUUUGAGAAGAAUUUUAGGUAAAGAAGAUGAUACCUCUCUGAAUCCAGAACUGAAUUGUUGGAGAAGAUACUAUGAAGAAGCCUCCAGACCAGCCAGCUGCACAAAAAUUGAACUUUGGGUGUGGUUUAUUGAACAUUUAUGUGUAUGUAUACUUUCAUGCCAAAAGGGGACUGCCCCCUGACUGGCUUUUUGUCAAUGCGUUCAGCAAUUAUUGGUUUUAUUCUUUUUGUUUCUCUUAUCCUCAAAUUACUUAAAUGUUUAAGUUGAUUAUAUUCUCAUGAUCCUUUUUGGGGAAACUUUGCCCCCCAACAACGAUCAUAUGGAGAAAUGUAAAAAUGGAUUGGAAUCCAGGACUUCAAUCCCAACAAGCCUUUGCUCCACUUCCCCAGAAUGCUUUGUAAUCUCACCUGGGCCAAGAUCCAGAAGGGAUUUAACUUGAUUGCAAAGGCUUUUGGGCUCUCUUUUGGACUUUCGCUUUGGGGCAGAUGUGGCUCUUUCCAUAAUGUAGGUGAGGUUUUGUCUAGGCCUCUGGCCUAGGCAUGUGUUUUUUCUUACUUGUAUAUUCUUAAAUUCUAAUCCUCUUGUGAAUUUCAAAACUAUUCAACCCUGUUCAAACCAUUCUUUAGAGGAUGGGAUUUGGCUAUUUCCUGAUCAAUAACAAUAGAGAUACUUGGAAUGACAGAAUCAGGUCUUGGAAACUACAAUCUCCACCCUACUCAAGGUAACAGGAUUUAGGAAGGGCUGCAGCAAAGCUCAAGAUUUAAUUAUUUGAGAAUAUGACCUUCAACAGAUAUGUGCAAAGGGGGGCAGACCUCUGGGCAGUCCUGGGUGAAGCUAGAGCCACCAUUGGCACAGGUGAGACACAGGAAGUGAGGUAGAGGACAGCUGAGGAGUUCUGGGGACUUUCUGUGUGAAGGAGAGGAGGUGAUUGGAGCCUGGUGCUUUGGAGUGGAGGCGCUCAGACUGUUUCUCCAUUUUGGUCACGUGAGUGAUAGGGACUGAUCUCUUUUCUUUGCCUCAGCUAUCCAAGGCCUUGUGCCUUUGGCCCAGCCUAAGCAGAGUGGGUAUUUAAAUUUAAGCCCUAUUCCCUUCUCAUCCCUUUCUCUCUCUCUCUCUCUCUCUAAUACCUUUCUUCCUCCUGUUUGAAAUUAAAAACUCCAUAAAAGGUUGACUGCUGACUUGAGUUUUCAUUUAGGAAUUACAUAGCUGAAUUCCUUGGAGACCUUAAAUUAAUAUAUAUCAGUCUUUUAAUGUGAUUUCCAUCUCACACUCUAAAAAUAUAAUACUCCUUGCAGAGAGAAACUAAUUUCUACCUGCCUCAGUCUCCUAAAUUUUCAUCUUUACACCUUCUUCUAAGUUCCUCUGGAUUGUCCUGGGUCAUUGCAUUGCUGGUAGUAAAGAAGUCCAUUAUAUUUGAUUGUGUCAUAAUGUAUCAGACUCUGUGGACAAUGUUCUCCUGGUUCUGCUCCUCUCACUCUGCAUCAAUUCCUGGAGGUCUUUCCAGUUCACAUGGAAUUCCUCCAUUUCUAUAUUCCUUUUAGCACAAUAAUAUUCCAUCAACAAUGUAUACUAUAACUUAUUGAGCCAUUCUCCAAUCAAUGUGUACCCCCUCAUUUUCCAUUUUUUUGCUACCACAGAGUGCCAUAGUUAUUUUCGUAUAGUUAUUUUAAAUGGAAUUUCUCUUUCUUUCUCUUGCUAUUGGAUUUUGUUAGUAAUAUGUAAAAAUGCUGAUUUUUUAUGUGGGUUUAUUUUCUAUCUUGCAACUAUGCUAACAUUGUAAAUUAUUUCAACUAGUUUUUUAGUUAAUUCUCUAGAUUUCCUCAAAUAUACCAUCAUGUCAUCUUCAAAGAGUGAUGGUUUUGUUUCCUCACUGCUUAUUUUAAAUCCUUCAAUGUCCUCUCCUUUUUAUUGUUAUAGCUAGCAUUUCUAGUACAAUACAAAUAAUAGUGGCAAUAAUGGACAUCCUUGCUUCUCCCCUCUUCUUAUUGGAAAGCUUUUAACUUAUCUUCAUUACAGAUAAUGCUUGCUAUUGGUUUAAGAUAAAUAUUAUUCAUCAUUUUAAGGAAAACUUCACUUAUUCCUUUGUUUUAUAGCAAUAGGAAUGAGUGCUGUAUUUAAAGUUUUUUCUGCAUUUAUUGAGAUAAUCAUAUGAUUUUCUUGGAUUUGUUACUAAUAUGGUUAAUUAUACUGAUAGUUUUCUUAAUAUUGAACCAGCAUUGCAUUCUUUGUAUAAAUCCCAUCUGUUAAUGUAUAAUCUUUGUGACAUAUUGCUGUAAUCUUCUUGCUGGUAUUUUAUAUAAAAUGUUUUUAUCAGUAGUCAUUAGAGAAAUUGACCUAUAGUUUUCUUUCUUCAUUUUUAUUUUCUUCUAUUUUUUAUUCUUUGUUUUUCCUCUACCAAGCUGUUAACUCUUUUUUUCAUGCUUCUUGCAUUACUUAAAUUUCUUUUCCAAUUUUUCCUCCACCUCUUUUAUUUGUUUUUAAAAUAAUUUUUGAAUUUUUCCAGGAAUUUUUUUUAGAAUGUUUGAUAGAAUUCAUUUGUGAUUCCAUCUGGUCCUGGGGAUUUUUCUUAGGGAGUUCUUUGAUGGCUUGUUCAAUUUCUUUUUCUGAUAUGGGGUAAUUAAGGCAUUCUAUUUCUUCUUCUGUUAAUCUAGGAAAUUUAUAUAUAUUUUAAAUAAACUCUUACCUUCCAUCUUGGAAUCAGCAUUGAUUCCAAGGCAGAAGAGUGGUAAGGGCUAGGCAAUGAGGGUCAAGUGACUUGCCCAGGGUCACACAGCUGGGUAGUGUCUGAGGCCAGAUUUGAACCUAGGACCUCCUGUCUCAAGGCCUGGCUCUCAAUAUACUGAGCUACCCAGCUGCCCCAUAAUUUAUAUUUUUGUGAAUAUUCAUCCAUAUCUCCUAGAUUGCCAUAUGUAUUGCCAUAUAAUUGGGCAAAAUAGUUUUUUAAUGAUUGCCAUAAUUUCCUCUUCAUUAGAGGUGAUGUCUCCCUUUUCAUCUUUGAUACUAUUAAUUUGGUUUUCUUCUUUCCUUCUUUUUAGUUAGAUUGAUCAGCACUGUCUAUUUUAUUUGUUUUUUCAAAGUACCAGCUUCUAGUCUUAUUUAUUAAUUCAAUAGUUCUUUUACUUUUGAUUUUAUUAAUUUCUUUAAUUUUUAGGAUCUCAAAUUUAGUUUUCACCUGAAGAUUUUUAAUUUGUUAGCUUUCUAGUUUUUUAAUUUGCAUGCCUAAUUCAUUGACUUCUUCCCUCCCUAAUUUGUUAAUAUAUGCACUCAAGGAUAUAAAUGUCCCCCUGAGUAUUGCUUUGGCUGCAUCCCAUAGAUUUUGAAAGGAUAUCUCAUCAUUGUCUUUUUCUUCAAUGAAGUUAUUAAUUAUUUUUAUGAUUUGUUCUUUAACUAACCUAUUUUGGAGAAUCAUAUUAUUUAAUUUCCAAUUAAUUUUUGAUUUGCCCCUCUAUGUACCCUUGCUAAUUUUAAUUUUUAUUGCCUUAUGAUCUAAAAAAGGUUGCAUUUAUUAUUUCUGCUCUUUUGCACUUGUUUUCAAUGUUUUUAUGCCCUAGUACAUGGUCGGUCUUUGUAAAUGUACCAUGUGCUGCUGAAAAGAAGGUGUAUUCCUUUUUGUCCCUAUUUGUUUUCUCCACAUAUCUAUUAACUCUAAUUUUUCUAAGAUUUCAUUCACAUCUCUUACCUCUUUCAUAUUUAUGUUUUGGUUUGAUUUAUAUAAAUUUGAUAGUGGUAGGUUCAGGUCUCCCACUAGUAUAGUUUUACUAUUUAUUUAAUCCUUGAGCUCCACUAGUUUCGCCUUUAGAAAUCUGGAUGCUAUACUAUUUGAUGCAUACAUGUUGAAUACUGAUAUUUCCUUAUUGUCUAUGCUGCCUUUUUAUCAGGAUGUAAUUACCUUCCCUAUCUCUUUUAACUAGAUUUUAUUUUUACUUUGGCUUUGUCAGACAUCAUAACUGUUGACUCUUGCCUUUUUUUCUCAGUUGAUGCCCAAUAGAUUUUGUUCCAUCCACUUAUCUUUACCCUGUGUGUAUCUAUCUGUCUCAUGUGUGUUUCUUGUAGAUAUGGUAUGAUUUUGGUUUCUAAUCCAUUCUGCUGUUUGCUUGCUUUUUAUUGGUGAGUUCAUUCCAUUCACAUUCAGAAUUAUGAUUUCCAGCUGAGUAUUUCCCAACAUUUUGACUUUCACUUGUAAAAAUAGACUCGAAUCCAGGAUUUCAAUUCCCAGAAGUCCAUGCUCCACUUCCCCAGAAUGGUUUGUAAUCUCACUGAAUUCUCACCUGGGACGAGAGCAAAAUAUUAUUUAAAGGUUCUCCACCAUAGGUGGGGUCUCUUUUUUUUUCCUCUUUUUACUUCUGCUUCAGAGCACACGCGGCUCUUCACCUAGAAGGCAAGAUGUGAGUGGUCGUGAAUAGGCUCUCUGGGCCUAGACAUGUGCUUUUCUUACUUGUGUUUUCUUUUAAUUUUAAUCUUCAAUAAACCUCAUAAAAAUAUAAUACUCCUUGCAGAGAGAAAUUAAUUUCUAUCUUGCCUCAGUCUCCCCAAAAUUUUAAUCUUUACAGUUUGGCAUAACCACUUCGGGAAAAUGAAAUAUCUCAAUCUUCUGAUUCUUUUUGGAUUCUUUUCUCUACUAAGCUUUAAUAGCUAGUGCCUAGAAAUUUUUUUAAGCCAGGUUUCUCUGGUCAAGGUUUUUUUUACCCUUGCAAAGCUGUUGCUCCUUCCAGCCAUUAGAUAGCUCCCCCACCCAGCUCGGCCAGCCUCUUCUCUGUUCCUGCCUGCAGCCCCCGCUCCAGACCUGUUGCCUUUGCCACCCACCUGGCCCCUGGCUGCUUCAUUCUGCCUGCCUGUUUUUCCUGCUGCUGCUCCUGACCUCUCUCUGUCCUCACCUAGUCCUGGCCCUUCCCACCCUGGCUGCCCACUCUGGUUCCCGGCCCUGCUUGCCUGUGUUCCUGUCUUUCCUGGCCUACCCCGGUGCUCUCUCUAGCUCACCCGGUCCUUGUUCAACUCAGAUCCUUGGAGCAGAACACUCAGGACUCAUUUCUACCAGCUGGUAACAAACGGGGGUAUCAGCUCCACAUGAGUGGACUGGGCUCCACCUGGGUGGAUCGGACCAUAGGAGGGGAGAGGGAGAAAAGGGAGAGGAGAAGAAACAGAUUUUUCCAAACAGGAACUUAAAAGCAAUGGGCUAUUUAAAAGGAUACCUUUUGACUGUUCUGGUAAUUUCAUUGAUUUCACCUGUGUGCCAGAAGAAAGAUUCAGCCCAAAGAUUCAACUUUAACUUUGAAGUUGCAAAUGGGUGGCUCAGCGAACUGAGAGCCAGGCCUAAAGACAUGUGGUCCUGGGUUAAAAUCUGGCCUCAGAUACUCCCCAGAUGUGGGGCCCUGGAUGGGUCCCUUAACCCCCAUUGCUUAGCCCUUACCACUCUGCCUUCUGACAAUAGACAUUUAAAUGGAUAAGAACCCCAAGGAACUUAAGGACUGGAGGUUAUAUAUUUUAAGACAUUUCAGACACCAAUGGUUAUAAAAAUCUCUGUAUUUCUUCUAUUGCAUUUUCCUGAUUGUUUUGUUUAAGAUUUAACUUUGUGAUUUUAAGUUCGUAUAUUACUGGAUUCAAUAUUAUUCUGUUAUACUGUUCAUUUAAUGUACUGAGUUUUACACUGAAUCAUUUGAAUGCAUUGAGUUUUAAAUACUGUUAUAUUCUGUUGCUUUUCCCCCAUAUAUUGAACAAAUAUCAUUGUAAUUAAGCCCGUAUAUAUAAAAAAAAAAAACAGCCUUUCUAUUUUGACUUUGUAAAUUGUCCAUAGAGGAUAGAUGGACUUCUUCAGAACUGGUUACAAUUCCUAUAAAAACUUUUGGAAAAUUUAAUGUGCUAAAUAUCUCAAAUGAUUUUAAGGUUUUUUAAAAAAUAUCAUUUUUGGAAUUUUUAAAAACAAUCUCUGGUUAUUUUUGCCUGCCCCUACCACAAGGUAAGGCCCAUAGCUGAAGUGAAAUACAAUUAUAACCCCUAACCUUCCUGCAUUUCUAAAUAUGUGAAUGGAAGUUAGGGAAGUUAAUCUCAGGGCAUUUGUACCCCUAAAAAAGCCUCCAAAAAAGGAGCAUCUCUCAUUUAUACUCUUCAGCUCACUAUUUUACUUCCACCAGAAUAUAUAGAUUUCUUCAUGAUGUUCAAAACCCGAAAUGAAUUUUACUUUGUUUAAAAAUAUGUUUAUUCACCAAGGUUGAAAUAUUUGCUAUGAUUGUAAAAACUUGUGACAAAUAUCCAUCAAUUCAUAGGUUUAAAAAAAUGCCAUACAGCAACUUAUGUGAAAUAUGAUAAUGUGUUUGUUUGCUAUUGUAAUUAAUUGGGCUAUUGAGAAUUUUGGGGAUAUUGAUAACUACAUAUUUAUAAUACUGUUCUUUAAAAAUGAAAAAUGUUACCUUGCUCAAUUCAUUUGUCUUAUACUCACAGUGGAGCAUGGCCAGACAUGGAGAGGAAAUGGAUCUCAUUUUUGGUGAGAAAGCCUUGUAUUCUAUAUUUCCCUAGCUGACACAGUGGGUCAAUGAUUAUAAGUUAUAUUUUUGAAAUUUUUAAAGCUUUUUUAUUAUAUUUUUCUCACAUGUGCAAUAUACUUUUUCAGUUUUUUUCUCUUUUUUAUAUUUGAAGCACAUGUCACCAGCAUUAAGAUUUUCUUUAAAUUUUUGAUUUAUCAGUACUACAAGUUUAAGAUAUAUUUGCUAAUGCAUACCCCAAAAGCUAGAAGACUAUAAAAAUGAUGCCACUAAUUGUUUAAAAAAUUAUGGGAGUUUGCUUAAUGAUUUUGUCUGAUUCCAGGACAAGAUAUACACAAAAGAGCCAUUGCACAGAGCCAAAGAAAAGGGUAUCCAGGAUGGAUUGAUGCACUUCUAGGCCAAUACAAAGGUUUUGAACCUAGUGUGAAGACUCGAGGUUACUGUGUUUAACAUUUGUUACAACAUAGGCUUUCCUUGUGUCCAUACUCACUCUGAAAAUAUUCACAGAUGAGUAUCCCCAAAACCUUGGCUCAUAUAAUCUGGUCCCCUUUUCUGCCUUUCAUAGUGUGGUAACUUUCUGUAGUCCUGGCUACUGACUGGGUAAAUGCAUCAUUGCUUAGAUCAUUUUAAUUGGGCCCUGAUUCAAGGACCUGUUAUAGAUAUAUUUUUCUUUUACUUGGAAUUUUUACACACAUAAGACUUUGAUAGUCUACAUUUUCAUCCAGUAUUUUCUUUUUUAUUUGGAUUUUCUGAUAUCUUUUUAAUUUCUCUUACCAAUUGAUUCAUAUACCUCAUACCUCAGCCAUGCAUCCCCAAGUGAUCCUGUAUUUUUCAAUCACCCUCUUAACAGGGGAAUGUAAAAAAAAAAAUCAUUAUUUAAAUUGCAAAGUUUAAAUUCCUUUUGAGAAGAAUUUUAGGUAAAGAAAGAUGAUACCUCUCCGAAUCCAGAAACUGAACUGUUGGAGAAGACACUAUGAAGAAGCCUCCAGACCACAAGCUGCACAAAAAUGAACUUUGGGUGUGGUUGAUUGAACAUUUAUUUGUAUGUAUACUUUCAUGCCAAAGGGGACUUCCCCAUAAGUAGCUUUUUGUCAAUGCGUCUAGCAAUUAUUGUUUUUUUUUCCCCUCAAUUUCAAAUUAUUGUAAUCUCUAAGUUGAUUAUGUUUUCAUGAUCCUUUUUGGGGAAACCUUUCCCAAUAAGAAUCAAACGGGGGAAUGUAAAAAUAGACUCGAAUCCAGGACUUCAAUCCCCAGAAGUCCAUGCUCCACUUCCCCAGAAUGCUUUGUAAUUUCACUGAAUUCUCAUCUGGGACUAGAGCAAAAUAUUAUUUAAAGGUUCUCCACCGUAGGUGGGGGUCUCUUUUUUUUCUCUUUUUACUUCUGCUUCAGAGCACACGCGGCUCUCCACCUAGAAGGCAAGAUGUGAGUGGUCGUGAAUAGGCUCUCUGGGCCUAGACAUGUGCUUUUCUUACUUGUGUUUUCUUUUAAUUUUAACCUUCAAUAAACCUCAUAAAAAUAUAA